CAGGGACGUUUUUCCUUGCGGCGC
rnacentral:siRNA from 1 species